rnacentral:rRNA from 1 species
UCCGUAGGGGGCGAGCGUUGUCCGGAUUUAUUGGGCGUAAAGAGCUCGUAGGCGGCUGUUCGAGUCGGGUGUGAAAUCCUGAGGCUUAACCUUGGGUCUGCAUUCGAUACUGGGCGGCUUGAGUCUGGUAGGGGGAUCUGGAAUUCCUGGUGUAGCGGUGGAAUGCGCAGAUAUCAGGAGGAACACCAGCGGCGAAGGCGGCGCUCUGGGCUGGAACUGACGCUGAGGAGCGAAAGCGUGGGGAGCGAACAGG